rnacentral:rRNA from 1 species
UACGUAGGUGGCAAGCGUUGUCCGGAUUUACUGGGCGUAAAGGAUGCGUAGGCGGCCAUUUAAGUCAGAUGUGAAAUACCCGAGCUUAACUUGGGUGCUGCAUUUGAAACUGGGUGUCUAGAGUGCAGGAGAGGUAAGUGGAAUUCCUAGUGUAGCGGUGAAAUGCGUAGAGAUUAGGAAGAACACCAGUGGCGAAGGCGACUUACUGGACUGUAACUGACGCUGAGGCAUGAAAGUGUGGGGAGCAAACAGG